rnacentral:rRNA from 1 species
AUUGAACGCUGGCGGCAGGCCUAACACAUGCAAGUCGAACGAGUGGCGGACGGGUGAGUAAUGUCUGGGAAACUGCCUGAUGGAGGGGGAUAACUACUGGAAACGGUAGCUAAUACAGAAUACGAACGGAUGAGCCCAGAUGGGAUUAGCUAGUAGGUGGGUUAAAGGAUCACCUAGGCGACGAUCCCUAGCUGGUCUGAGAGGAUGACCAGCCACACUGUAACUGAGACACGGUCCAGACUCCUACGGGAGGCAGCAGUGGGGAAUAUUGCACAAUGGGCGCAAUCCUGAUGCAGCCAUGCCGCGUGUAUGAAGAAGGCCUUCGGGUUGUAAAGUACUUUCAGCGGGGAGGCGUUACCCGCAGAAGAAGCACCGGCUAACUCCGUGCCAGCAGCCGCGGUAAUAC